AGGGCCGUAGCUCAGUAGGUAGAGUGCUCGCUUUGAAUAUAAAUGACUCCAGGUUCAAUCCUUGGUGUCUCUU